ensembl:rRNA 5S_rRNA 5S ribosomal RNA
AACACGCCUGAUCUCAUCUGAUCUCAGAAGCCAAA